AAUCAACGCUGGCGGCGCGCCUAACACAUGCAAGUCGCACGAGAAAGCGGACUUCGGUCUGCAAGUACAGUGGCGCACGGGUGAGUAACACGUGAAUUAUCUACCUUCGAGUGGGGAAUAACCUCGGGAAACCGAGGCUAAUACCGCAUAACACUUACGAGUCAAAGCAGCAAUGCGCUUGAAGAGGAGUUCGCGGCAGAUUAGUUAGUUGGCGGGGUAAUGGCCCACCAAGACGAUGAUCUGUAUCCGGCCUGAGAGGGCGCACGGACACACUGGAACUGAAACACGGUCCAGACUCCUACGGGAGGCAGCAGUGGGGAAUUUUGCGCAAUGGGGGAAACCCUGACGCAGCAACGCCGCGUGGAGGAUGAAAUCCCUUGGGAUGUAAACUCCUUUCGAUCGGGACGAUUAUGACGGUACCGGAAGAAGAAGCCCCGGCUAACUUCGUGCCAGCCGCCGCGGUAA
rnacentral:rRNA from 1 species